GCGCGCGUAGCUCAGUGGGAGAGCAUCCGCCUUACAAGCGGAGGGUCGCAGGUUCGAAACCUGCCGCGCGCA
rnacentral:tRNA from 1 species